ensembl:misc_RNA Metazoa_SRP Metazoan signal recognition particle RNA
GCUGGGCAUGGUGGUGCGUGCCUGUGGUCCCAGCUACUCAGGAGGCUAAGAUGGGAGGAUCACUUGAGCCCAGGAGGUCGAGGCUGCAGUGAGCUGUGAUCACACCACUGCACUCUAGCCUUGGCAACAGAGUGAGACCUUGUCUCAA